UUUAAAGAUGUAAUUUUUCGAUUUUCUCAGGAGUUUUCCUAAAAAAUGUGAAGUAUCUGGAUAAACCAUAGAAAACUGAGAAAAACGUAGGCAAACUGGGAAAAUCAGUACAAUAUUAUUAAAGAAAAUAUAUAAUGCUUUUUAAAUUAUUUUACUAUAAAAUGACAUAUAAUAUAUUGUUGACAAAGCUCACUAUUAACUAAACUCCGCUC